ACCGCUCCGAACCGUUCGCAGAUUCGCAUUGCAGAGUUUCAACCCUGAAACGGCGCGGCGCGUCUUUGUUACCGCGGAGACUUGUACGCGCAAUCUCUUCGUCGCGGCGGUGGUCUCGACCGAUUGAGUAAGAGUUUCGCUAACUUUGGUGAUCGUGCCACAAAGAUGAACCAAGAGCAGAAUGAUUUAAGGCGAUCCAAUCUGCAACGCGAGGAGCCUCAGUAUUUCAACCAAGAUACAGCGAUACGGCAAAAAUGAGCGAAGCGUUCGAAGCAUGGAACGCGUCGAAGGCAAGAAGAGCGAGUGAUUUGCACGACCACGUUCCAGGAUGAAGUAUGCAUCUGUCUACGAUUAAUUUGGCGACAGAGAUACCAAUAAGAAGUCCGAUCGGAUACUCCUGGUAAUUUGAAUAGAAGCAAUCAGUUCUUCCCUCGUAUGAUUCAGCCCAUGCAUGGUAGAUGAUGUGUAUACUACUACUACCCCUCCCAAAAUUGAUUACUGGUAGUACUCUAGGUAGACACGAGUGCCGCUAGAUUUUUAUACGAGAAACUUAAUAAACGACAUUUUCUUAGAAAA